rnacentral:snRNA from 1 species
AGCUUUGCACAGUGGCAGUAUUGUAGCCGAUGAGGUUUAUCCAACGCGCGAUUACUGCUAAUUGAAAACUCACACCGGGCGC